rnacentral:rRNA from 1 species
GGCUCAGGACGAACGCUGGCGGCGUGCCUAACACAUGCAAGUCAAGGGGUAGUUUACUACCACUGGCGGACGGGUGAGUAACGCGUAGAUUAUCUGCCUCUAUCUCUGGCAUAACUGCGAGAAAUUGUAGCUAAAACCAGAUGAGGUGCUUCGGCAUCAAAGGUAACGGAUAGAGAUGAGUCUGCGUCUGAUUAGCUAGUUGGUAGGGUAAUGGCCUACCAAGGCGACGAUCAGUAGCUGGUCUGAGAGGACGAUCAGCCACACUGGAACUGAGACACGGUCCAGACUCCUACGGGAGGCAGCAGUGAGGAAUAUUGGUCAAUGGGGGAAACCCUGAACCAGCGACGCCGCGUGUGGGACGAAGGGGCUUUGCCCUGUAAACCACUGUCGGAUGGGAAGAAAAGUCACCCUUGGUGACUGGGACUGUACCAUUAAAGGAAGGGUCGGCUAACUACGUGCCAGCAGCCGCGGUAAUACGUAGGACCCGAGCGUUGUCCGGAAUUACUGGGUGUAAAGGGUGCGCAGGCGGGCUUGUGCGUCAGAGGUUAAAUCCCACAGCUUAACUGUGGAACUGCCUUUGAUACGGCAAGUCUUGAAUGCGAGCGAGGAAGGUAGAAUUCCUGGUGUAGCGGUGAAAUGCGUAGAUAUCAGGAGGAAUACCAGUGGCGAAGGCGGCCUUCUGGCUCGUUAUUGACGCUCAGGCACGAAAGCGUGGGGAGCAAACAGGAUUAGAUACCCUGGUAGUCCACGCCUUAAACGAUGUAUGCUUGGUGUUGGGAGUUUUUCUCAGUGCCGUAGGUAACCCGUUAAGCAUACCACCUGGGGAGUACGAUCGCAAGGUUGAAAC